GACACAGCAAAAAGGCACCAUCUAUGAACCAGACAGGGAGCCCUUUCCAGACAGUGAAUCUUCUGGUGCCUUGAUCUUGGACUUCCCAGCCUCUAGGACUGUUUUGGCAGUUCCUAAUUUAUCUUGAAUAUUCAAAAAGAACUUGCAUUUGUCAUGGGAAAAGAAGAAAAUAGAAGGGCUCACCUAACGUACCCUCAUAUGAAUCAUAUUCAAGCCCUUCCUUUGUCAACUAUCUCCCUCUCCAACCUACUGUGAGCUCAGAUCAGUGAUGUGCCUGCUUCCCCUUCCACCAUGACUGUAAGUUUCCUGAGGCCUCCCAAGCCAUGUGGAACUCUGAGACCCUAAGAGAAUGAAGGUGGAACUUUUCCACUCCUGCGUUUUGUGGCAACCCAGAUAGGACCCUAAAAGGCUGGUAUAUCCCCCUGCUUUGGAGCCUGCAGAUGGGAUCCUGAGAAGGCUGACAAGUCUGCAGAAGGAUACAGUUGGAAAUGCUGGUUAUAUUACCAUGGCUUUGACUGAAAUGUCAUAUUUUCAG